rnacentral:snoRNA from 1 species
UUGCAAUGUUGAAAGCUUAAAACUCAUUGAAAGUAUGUGUGCUUGAUGUGAGAUUUGACAUGGUAAUGACCAUGUUGAUCCUGAGCGGUUACCUGAGCAA